rnacentral:rRNA from 1 species
CAGUAGGGUGCCAUCAAGAGGUGUAUUUGGAAAUAUCCCUAAUACAGGAUCACUA